rnacentral:rRNA from 1 species
CAGCCGCCGCGGGAAUACGUAGGUGGCAAGCGUUGUCCGGAAUUAUUGGGCGUAAAGGGCUCGCAGGCGGUUUCUUAAGUCUGAUGUGAAAGCCCCCGGCUCAACCGGGGAGGGUCAUUGGAAACUGGGAAACUUGAGUGCAGAAGAGGAGAGUGGAAUUCCACGUGUAGCGGUGAGAUGCGUAGAGAUGUGGAGGAACACCAGUGGCGAAGGCGACUCUCUGGUCUGUAACUGAUGCUGAGGAGCGAAAGCGUGGGGAGCGAACAGGAUUAGAUACCCCCGUAGUCCCUGUCUCUUAUAC